rnacentral:rRNA from 1 species
ACUAGUUCCUGCUCGGCCCAGGCCAGCCGCUCCUCUCCUCCUCACCUCUCCAGCGCGUGCUGCCCUAACUGACGCCGUGGAAGUGCGCGCCGCCGCCCGCUCUCUCCCCGGUCGCGCCGCCGCCGCCUCUCCGCAGCCCGAGCGUUAAUAAUCCCUGGACGAUGGAGAUGAAUGCUGCAACAAGUCUAGAACCUAGAGCAAAGGCUACCCUGGUUCUCGGAGGGGAAUCGUUCGCAGUCAGCUCCGAGUCCGGCACCCUGUCGGAGCAGCUGGCGGCGAUGAGGGAGAAGAGCAUGGUGAUCCUCAAGGAGUACAUCACCAAGCACAACGUCCCGAACGAUGUCCCUGAUGAAUCCAUUGAGGGCCCAUCGGAUGAGGAGGGCGAGGCACUUGCUAAAAACCCGCCCAAGAAAUCAAAGAAGCAGAAGUGAUUGUCCUGAAUCUCAUCUGAUUUAUCGUGCCCUUUCUUAGUCCUCUCUUGCAAAGAUCUGAGAACAUGCUGUUACCCCUUGCUAGCUGUUCCUUUGACACUGAACGACCAACAAUUUAUUCUUAGGCACACUAGCUGCUUGUGUAUCAAAUCGAUGUGUGCAAGCGACGCUCAAUGUUGUUAUCUGAUAAUAUGUGUGUGCAAGGAAAGUUUGCAUCUUUCUUUCUGUACAACUCGUUGUUAGAAGAUGUUCUGCUUUUCGCUGGUAAUAUAUGAGCUUCAGCACUAAAGUCCAUUGCAGUUAAAUCAUUUGUCAGAUGUUUUGCUUUUGAGGAUAAUGAAUGAGCUUCAGC